ensembl:lncRNA
GUAUCUUACCUGCCCGCUUUUUUUAUAUUGUCUAGAAAUCGUCCCUUGCCUUUAAAUCUGCAGUGUUUGAUCCGCUCCUAUAGGCGGCGCAAGCGGGCUUCACCUUCAGUCUGACACCUUCGGCUGCUUAACGACAACAACAAGACACUUGAUGACAGUCACAACAACACGUGCAGAUCCUGCCGCAAAUGACAGCUAUUAAAAACGUGUUUUUCAGCAGAUCGGUCCGAUUAAACGCUGGAAUCGAGUGUCACGGGACUCACCUAAUAAGAGAUGUGUUGUGAUUGUAAAGCAGAGCUCUGGACGUGUGGACAGACAGUGACUGUAAUGAUGGACAUCUGCUCAUGAACAGUCUGGACAAAAUCAUAACCGCUGCUGGUCACGGUGCCGGAAGCUCCAGGGGGAGACUGUACUGGUAUCCCCCUUCUUCAGACGCGCCUUCACACACACUCCAGCAUUCACUCAUAUCGCAGAGACCUGGCUGGGAUCAAACCAGCAACCUCUGAACCCGUGAGGCAGCGCUCUUACCUGUGAGCCACAGGUCUCUUGUUGGAGUGUGUGAAGUAACUUAUAUUUGACUGUUGACCUGUGUGUUCCCAAUAAAGAGGUUAAAGUAAGCUGUGUAUGUGAUAUAAUGAGGAGGGAUUUGAACCCAUGUCUUCAUCACAGGCACAUCAUCAGAAAACGUGUUUAUCCACUAACCCGUCAUGGACUUCACAUUGUGGUUUGGUAUUUGAGAGAUUUUGUUGGAUGAGACAGAGUUAAAGUAAGCAAUAGUGUGGUUUGAACCUGAACUUCCAUGUUCAAGACUGAAGCCUUUAACCGCUAAGCCACAGAGACUGUGAUGUUGCAUGCUUUUACUUUUAGGGUUGUUUAGAUUUGUUUGGUUUUUCUUAAUGUAGGUUUACAUUAGGCUGAAUAAACCAUUUUAUUGUUUCUAUUGGGUUAGUUCAAAACGACAUGAUUAGCCAUGCACCACUAGGCUUUCAUCUUGUUUGAACCUCAUUUUAAAUGUAAAACUUGCUAGAUUUGAUUCAGUUCUUUCACACUCAAAGGGUGAACAAUUAUCCACCGUACCACAGACACGGUCUUUAAAGCACUAGCAUUUUUGUUUUUAUAUAUUAACAUUUUU